UUUUUGCUAAGAAUAGAAUAGCUAAAGCAGGUCUGGGUCACUUUAUUAGAACUAAGGAAACAUAAUAUGUGAUGCACAGAACUUUAGACAAAUUAGGCAACCCCUUGGGGCCAGUAAACACCCUCCUAGACUAACACAGAACUUGGAACAGGCCCAGUUGAAAAUUUGAAUCAGGUUUGCAGAAAAACAAAGGCUGGCAAGAAUAUAACUUUGGAAGAUUUACUCACUAAUUUUAGAGCUGCUGGAGGCCAACCAAAGAGAUUUGGGUUAUACAUUACCUAAGACUUAUGAUGGGAACUGGACUUACUAAGCCAAUUAAAGAAUGAUUCAUUCAACCAGUCAGUAAUCAGUAACUAGUUAGCAAUCUGUUGAUUUAGUUAAAAAUGAUCUAUCCGUUGUGCAUGUAGCCCAGUGAAAAUUUCUCCUCUCUUUCACUUAUUAUGCUCACAAUUGUCAUCCAGUUUGUGGUAGUAAUACAGAUCCAGUUCUGCAUGUUAAGUAAUCCGUGGUAUACAUAUAUACGUAUAUAUUCAUUUGUUCACAUACUAAUUCAGCAUAUAUAUAUAGAGGAACACCUCUCAUAGGCCAGGCACUCUGGGGAUCCUUUGUUAAUGUCUCUGCUUCUGUUUGCCUCUCGCUUCUCUUCCCCUUCCCCCAGGCCCCGCCUUACAUCUAUUAGCAUACAUCCCUAGCAUACUAGGAAACUGGACCAUUUUACUCUGGCAUUUUCCUCACUGGUUCACCCACCUGCAUACUAUGUAUAGUACUACACCCAUCAUGUAAACCCACAAUGAAAUUCUGACAGUUUCCUAAUAUUGGUGAAACUGUUUAUAAGCACUUUCAGAUCCAUCAUCUCAUUUAAUGAAGACAUGACAUUGCUGACGCAAAACACGUAGUGUAUGCACUUUAAAACCUCUAUGAAUUUGGCUUUCUUUUAACGUUCAUACAGUUGGUUUUGUAUGUAAACACUGGGCACACUUAGCAGGCUCAUUCACCUGGAAUAG
rnacentral:lncRNA from 1 species